rnacentral:misc_RNA from 1 species
UUUCCGUAGGUGAACCUGCGGAAGGAUCAUUAAUGAGUUGUCAUGGGGUUCGAUGCUGGCAGCCAAUUUUUGGAUGCAUGUGCUUGCCCUAACAAUCAUCUUCCAAACACCUGUGCACAUUUUUGAGGGAGUCUUGAGUUGGUUGCCGCUCUUGGGUGAUUUUCUCGCAUUCCCUUAAAUCAUUAUACGCUAUUAACAAUGUUGAACGUGCUCUGUGCCGCAAGGCUAUUAAUAUAAUACAACUUUUAACAACGGAUCUCUUGGCUCUC